CUGCAGUAACCCUUGGCCAACGACCUCCGCCGCCGGGAAAUAUUUACAUCUCCGGCUACCGACGGAUUUGUAUAACGUAUUUAAUCUUCAUUAUACAUCCGAACGUAGGAAAUGGAGGUUCUUCGGUUUACCGCCGUGAAAUCAUUGAAUUCAUGCGUCCGUCCAGAAUUCACGGCGAUGAGUUCCGUCAUUGUUCCUAUUAGCACUGUGAAAGUUUCUGGAACGAGGAAAAGCAAAAAGAAGGCGCUUAUUUGUGCUAAGGCGACGGAGAUCUUGUCAUCGCCAGCUACGGUAACGGAACCGUUGAAGGCGGAGCCGGCAGAGGCACCGGUUCCGUUGCUACGAGUUUCUCCGAGCUCGUUGCAGUGUGAGCCGGGAUAUUUGUUACCGAAUAGUCCGGUUUUAGGUACGGGUGGUGUGACCGGGUAUGAGUAUCUGACGAACAUCUUGUCAUCGAAAGUUUAUGAUGUAGCUUAUGAGACGCCUUUGCAGAAAGCUCCUAAGCUGUCAGAAAGAUUGGGAGUUAAUGUAUGGCUAAAAAGAGAGGAUCUUCAGCCGGUGUUUUCGUUCAAAAUCAGAGGAGCUUACAAUAUGAUGGCAAAACUCCCGAAAGAGCAGUUGGAAAAAGGGGUUAUAUGCUCAUCAGCAGGAAACCAUGCACAAGGUGUUGCAUUAUCUGCUCAGAGACUUGGCUGCGAUGCUGUGAUUGUUAUGCCUGUUACUACACCAGACAUCAAAUGGAAAUCAGUUAAGAGAUUGGGUGCUACUGUUGUUCUUGUUGGGGACUCAUAUGAUGAAGCUCAAGCAUAUGCCAAAAAGCGGGCUGAAUCUGAAGGCCGCACAUUCAUCCCUCCUUUUGAUCACCCAGAUGUCAUUGUAGGUCAGGGUACAGUAGGGAUGGAGAUAAAUCGCCAACUCAAAGAUAACAUUCAUGCAAUCUUUGUGCCUGUUGGAGGAGGGGGGCUUAUAGCUGGUAUUGCUGCUUAUUUGAAAAGGGUUGCCCCAGAUAUAAAGAUUAUUGGAGUUGAACCACUUGAUGCUAAUGCAUUGGCAUUAUCAUUACAUCAUGGUCAGAGAGUAAUGCUGGACCAAGUUGGGGGUUUUGCAGAUGGUGUAGCUGUUAAAGUGGUUGGUGAAGAGACUUAUCGUCUGUGCGAGGAAUUAAUAGAUGGCGUUGUCCUAGUUGGUCGUGAUGCUAUAUGUGCAUCUAUAAAGGACAUGUUUGAAGAGAAAAGGAGCAUACUAGAGCCGGCAGGUGCACUUGCUCUUGCUGGAGCCGAGGCAUACUGCAAGUAUUAUGGCCUCAAGGGUGAAAACGUAGUAGCAAUAACUAGUGGAGCCAACAUGAACUUUGACAGGCUUAGAUUGGUAACAGAACUCGCAGAUGUUGGUAGACAGCGGGAAGCUGUUCUUGCUACUUUUAUGCCAGAAGACCCAGGAAGCUUCAAAAAGUUCGCUGAAAUGGUAGGACCAAUGAAUAUCACUGAAUUCAAGUACAGAUACAACUCUGAUAAAGAAAGAGCUCUUGUACUUUACAGUGUUGGACUUCACACAAUAUUAGAACUUGAAGGAAUGGUGGAGAGGAUGGAAUCAGCAGAUCUGCAAACCAUUAAUCUUACAGACAAUGACUUGGUCAAAGAUCAUCUUAGGCAUUUGAUGGGUGGUAGAACAAAUGUUCAUAAUGAGCUUUUGUGUCGAUUCACUUUUCCUGAGAAGCCUGGUGCUUUGAUGAAGUUUUUAGAUGCUUUCAGCCCACGUUGGAAUAUAAGUUUGUUUCAUUAUCGUGCACAGGGAGAUACUGGUGCAAAUGUGCUAGUCGGGAUCCAAGUUCCACCGGAUGAGGUAGUUGAGUUUGAGGGACGGGCAGACAGUCUUGGUUAUGAAUAUGCAAUGGAGAGUCUCAAUGAGGCAUACCAGCUCAUAAUGCAUUGAAAAAAGGUGUUGCCUGUUAUGGCUUGUUCUGGGUCCUCAUUGCAACACCGACUUCACUUUCUCCUGGUUAGUCAGAUAUUCUGAAUCCUCCUCGACGAUGGAAGAUUGCCUGUUUUAUAUACAACCAGUGUACUAGAUGAUUUUGGGCUAGUCUUUAUCUUGUGUACAUAAGCUAUUUGUAUGUUGUUAUCUAAAGACCUCUACUUCCAUGAAUAAACCAUUUCACUUUAAAGCUAAUCUCAG
rnacentral:misc_RNA from 1 species